AUGGAGAGGUCGGGCGCCAGCGGACGGUGCCCAGUGCAAGAGCAGCGUGCCCGUUGGGAGCGGAAACGCGCCUGCACUGCCCGGGAGCUGCUGGAGACCGAGCGGCGCUACCAGGAACAGCUGGGGCUGGUGGCCACGGUGCGGCCGCGCGCGCCCUCCCGUAUGGGGCGGGGAGCCCAGGGUAUGGGAGGGUCUCAGCGAGGUCGGUGACCCCGAGUGUGUUGGGUCUUAGGCUGUCCUUCUGCAUGUAGGGAGCUCAGGAAUUCUACGGUUUCUAGCGGCGGCUUGGCAUUAGCCUCCUCUUCCUGCAGACUAUAUACCGGUAUUCUUCCGCAGUAUUUCGUGGGGAUUCUGAGAGCCACGGGCACCCUGCGACCAGCAGAGCGCCAGGCCCUCUUUGGGCCCUGGGAACUCAUAUACGGCGCCAGCCAGUGAGUAGAAGGGGCGUGGGGAAAGAGAAGAGGGAAGGCCCUGGCCUCUGGCAGUGCACGAAGCUUGGAGUGGGGGGAGACCCAGGUUCAUAUACGGAGUCUGCCAAUUACCUCACCUGUGCUCUUGGCCCAGUGCCUUGCCGUGCCCCACCUUCCAUCUGUAAAAUGGGGUAAUACCUCUACCUCCAGGGCAAGGUUAUGAGAAUUCAAUGAGGUGGUGCUUGGUAGUUGUUGGACUGCUCUUUUACUGUCCUCACCCACGCAGAGAGCUGCUUCCCUACCUCGAAGGAGGGCACUGGGGGCAGGGGCUGGAAAGCUUCUGCCCCCACCUGGAGCUCUACACUCAAUUUGCUGCCAACGCAGAGAGGUCCCGGACCACCCUGCAGGUAACCCGAAGAUAAUCUCAAGUCCUUCCCCUCUUGCCCCAUACACUGCCUCUUCCUCUGGAGCUCCAAACUUCAUUCAUACUGUUCCUACAUUUAUAGAGCCCCAUGGGUGUCCGCAUCUGUCCUAGGUUCACUGUAGGGCUUCUCUCAGUAGCACACGGCUUAUAGAGGGCUGGGGGUGUGUACACAGAUGAAUACAAUCUUAAGGAGUGGCUUCUCUCCCUGCUGCCAACCCUUUCCUCAUCCCUCCAGGAGCAACUAAAGAAAAACAAACGUUUCCGGAGGUUUGUGCGACUUCAGGAAGGCCGCCCUGAGUUUGGAAGCCUUCAUCUUCAGGAUCUGCUCCCUCUGCCUCUGCAGAGGCUCCAGCAGUGAGUAAACUCACCUGGACUCAGCCAACUUCUCUUCUCUGAGUCUGUAUGAUUGCUGCUGUCAGCUCUGUGGGGUUUAUGGCUUCUUUCCCAUUGCCUCUCCUGGGACAAACUGCUCCUAAAAACCUCUUGCAAGAGUGUGAACCCACUGGAGUAGCUGGAGUCUGCGGCCUCAGCCCCUUAGCUAGGAAUGUGGAACUCUGCAUUGAAGUGAGGGGGCCUGUAAUAGAGCUAGUGACAAGCAAGGUAUCUGGAAGUUUGUUGAGAUGAGAGGUUUGCCUACCUUAGACUUCUGUUCCUGGGGCUGUUAAGAGGAGACAGUCAGGUUAUCUCUAACAUCCUCCUUGGGUGGAUUAAUUUUCAUUUUGGGAUCUAGACUCCCAAAUUAUGGUCAGUCUGCUCCUGACUCCUCAGUGUGGGAUGGAAGAGGGCCAUGUGGUAAGAGCCCAGGUUCUGAGUCCCAGAUGAAAGAGGGGGAUGCAAUCAUCAGAAGCAGAUCUUUCCUGGCCUUGCAACUGAAGUGUGUGUCGGGAGCGAUCUGUAUGUCAGGCAGAAGGAAUUCUGCCCAGCUCUACUUCCCCUCAUGGACUCCCAGCUGUCUUAAUUCCAGGUAUGAGAAUCUUGUCAUGGCUUUGGCUGAAAACACAGGUCCCAACAGCUCUGACCACCAACAGCUCACACGUAUGUUCUUGCUCCUCUGAAACACAGGCAAGAGGCUGCCUCUCCUGUAUCCCUUUCUGGUUCUGACCAACAAUGUCUGGUAUGUCCCUGUCUUCCAUUGACAUGUACACAAUGUGCCUGUUGCCCUGCCUACUCUCCAAGAGGUUAGACCCUCACCCCAGUCCCCUCCAGAAUAGCCUUUCCCCACCGUCAGUCACCCAAAGUCAAAGCUCUACUGGGAGUAGGGUGGGGGAUGUUUUCCAGGGGCUGCCCGGCUGAUAAGUGAGACCGCCCAGAGAGUCCACAGCAUUGGUCAGAAACAGAAGAAUGACCAGCACCUCCGGCGUGUGCAGGGUUUGCUCAGUGGCCGCCAGGCAAAGGGGCUUACCUCAGCUGUCCUUUCCCCAUGAGAAGCUACUGCUUAUGUGCACAGACCAGGAGGAGCUGUUGCGCUGGCACCACAGUUUGACUCUGGCCAUCAGGUAAGAUGUGCCUUCGCUCAGAAGACUGCUGUGAUGAGGCCCGUGGGCUAGGAAUGAGCAAUUCUAAUCCUAUCUCACGUCUUACACCUGCUGGGCCAUCCCACCCCCAACGCCUUGGGUGAUUUUGUCUGAAUAGAGUGCUCAGGUCAGUGCCUGAACCGUCUUCUCUCCACAGCAGCCAGAAGAACUAGAAGAAUCUUAAAAUUCCAGAACCCAGGAUACUUGAGGGAUAGGUCAAAGCCAGCAGUAUAGAGAAAUCUUCAGUACUAACUAAACAAAACACAGAACGCUUCAUGGUUUGAGAAGGGUCGUUUCAGGUUUGCUUGGGACCAAGCCGUGCCAGCCCUUAAGAAUCAGGAAACCAAGUCCAACCCAGCUGAAGCUCUGCUGAACCAGCCCCUCCAACGUAGAUGAGGGGAUUCAGGACUGAUAAGCUCAGUGCUGGGUCUCUGGCUGCUUGGUUAUCAAGACUGCAGCUUUGUAAAUGUGGAUGUUUUUAUGUUGUAUGCAGUUUCUAUAAUUUAUUUUCCCACUGGAUUUCAGUAAAGUUUUUUUUUUCUUAACCUUUUUGGAAAGGCCUUCCUGUCUCAGCUCUGCAAUAUGAGAAAGAAAGGUUUUUGUGCCCUGGAGGCUGGCAUGAUGGUGGCCUCAGGAAUACAAGGAAAAGAGCUGGA